UACGUAGGGGGCAAGCGUUGUCCGGAUUUAUUGGGCGUAAAGAGCUCGUAGGUUGUUCGGUAAGUCGGAUGUGAAAUCUCCAGGCUCAACCUGGAGGGGUCAUUCGAUACUGCCGUGACUAGAGUUCGGUAGGGGAGUGUGGAAUUCCUGGUGGAGCGGUGAAAUGCGCAGAUAUCAGGAGGAACACCGGUGGCGAAGGCGGGUCUCUGGGCCGAUAUCGACGCUGAGGAGCGAAAGCGUGGGGAGCGAACAGG
rnacentral:rRNA from 1 species